UCCCCACACACGAGGCUGUUUGUUUUUGUUGGGUUUGUCAAUGUUGUCUUUGUUCGGGAGAUUGUGUCAUCGCCUAGAUGCCGGGAGUAAAGUGCGACCCUGUGUGUGAUCAAGUGUGUAACGUGUGCGGCUAGGGCUAAGGGCGCCUCUGACCGUCAGUGCCUGUGAGAAGGAGGAACAAGGGAUCGUGGGCCCCCGAGGGGGUUCGCUCUUGUUUCUAGGGCUCCAAAGGGCACUAGUGACCUGUGUGUGUGUGCGCGCGCCAACACGUGUGUACCAUGAGAACAGACUUUGAACAUGGACUGACAAUCUCGGCCUGAAGGGUGACAAACUGAAACCACACAUGUGCAUCUGGCAUGUGUAAAUACGUGUGAUGGCGCGCAAGCGUGAAAGCGUUUGUGAGUAGUAUCACAGCCGCGUGUGGGGAAGCGUGUGAAACUUUGACGAACGUAUGCUAAUGUCUGUGAACAGUGUGUGAAGAGGAGGGGGAAACGUGCACUUGCGAGCCGGGGCUGCGGGUUGAAGGCCCGGAAACGGUGUUUGUGCGCGGCGUCCCAGGCUGGGCGGCGGCUGUGUCUGGCCCAGUUUGGGCUGGGUCUUCCAGUCCGUCGGGCCCCAGUAUCCAACUCGGCCCCCUCCCCCCGAGCCGUGUAAACAAACCCGCUGGAAUUCGCCUCUCGGGGCUCCUCUCUCCGCCGGGGUCUGCUGCCGUCUGGAGCUGGGGAUUGGGGGGUGGGUGUCUGCCUCACAGCUCUCGGGGCGGAGAGGGCGGGCAGGUGUUUGAUUAGGGGUGUGUGUGUGUGUGAGAGAGAGAGAGAGAGAGAGAGAGAGAGAAUCUGGAGCUGGAGGUCCCAAUGCUGUGUGCCUGCGUGCCUUUGGUGGUUCCUGUGUGCGAUUGUGUGACUCUUUGUAUGCCCGCCCAGAGUUGAUUUUGCGAGUCUGUGCACCCCUGGCCAGCCCUUCCACGCGGCUGCGCAAAGCGGGAAGCUGCAGACCCGCCCCCCCCCGCCCCCCCCUCCCCCCCCGCCUCUCCCCGCUCUUCCCCGAGAAGCUCGGGCCCAGCUUCCCUAGUUCCCAAGCUGUUUCAUCCUCUUCUUUUACGGCCAGGCCCGGCCACAACGCCUGCCACUAGGGGAAACAGACAAGCCACCAUUUAUCAACAAACUUGCUAAGUGGAAAAGCCGAGAUUGCAGAGCCACAAUGCGCACUUGUGCUGCCUGGACACUUCGAGAGCCGCUGCGACACCUGGUGGGCUGGGAGGAGAGUUGCAGGCACUGAGCGAUCCAGACCGAGACGGCAGAAAGGACUUUGGCUCGGAGACAGACCUGCAGACCAAGUUAGCCCGGUGCCCUCCCUCGUCGCAGCCCCCAGCCUGCCCAGGCGGGUCUAGUCUUGGUUCUUGCUUUGGGUUGCCUCUCACCACAAAGUCGUGCUUCUGUGUUGGCUCUCAGCACCGCCACCCUCAGGCGAACAUCUGGGCUCAGUGGCGGGAGCUGUCUGAGGUGUCUGUCUGUCUGCCUGCCUGUCUGGGAAAUUCCCCUUAUGAGUCCUUUCUGGGAAUUCCUCAGAGACAAGAUUAACUCUCUGAGUGCCCUGGGGGAGGCCUGGCCUCUGGAGGGAGGUGCUGUCCACCUGUGGGGGCACUGUUGGCCUGGAGGUACCAUUUCCAGUGUGGAACAGGCAGAGCUACUUGAUUGCUACUCCCUUGCUGAGCACCCUGUGGUUUGGGAUAGGGAAGGACCAAACCACAAGGCCCUGGGGCACAGCUAACCUGGCCCAACCUCUAAGAGCAUCACUGGGCAGUGGGGUGAUGGGGAGGGUGCAGGGAAGGUGAUCCUGAGCUUGGAGCAGCCUCUGCCCCACUCCCCACAUCUUUAAAAAAAAACAAAGUGUAUGUUUCCCAUUUUAUUAGUGAUAUGUGUGUGUGUUUUUCAAAAGUUGAAAAAGAGAACAGGAGAAUAAGGGAAGCUACCAGCUACUGUGAAUAUCUUCAACCCUUCCCUGCCAGCCUUUAGUCUGUGAGGUUUUGUUUCUUUGUCUUUAGGAAUUGUGUUAAAUAUGAUUCACUUCUAUUGUGUAAUUCUUUUUCUGCCCUUUAACUUUAUGACAGAGAUAUUUUCAUGUAUAACCUCUUUGUAAACAGUAUUUUUAACCACAGCAUAGUGUUUCUUUGAAUGGUUCAGAGAUUGCAGUUGUAAUGGGGCAGAGUAGAGAUAAACACAUCCCCACAUUCAAGUACUCCUCAGCCACUGAGCAAUUGAGUUGAUUGUUUCCUAGAAAUUGCAAAUAACUCUGAGGUUGACUUUCAUUCAACAAGUUCUUCUGGCACAUCUGCUCUGGACCAGACUCUGAACUGGGGCUGAAUCCUCAGUGGAGGACAGUAGGUGAGGGCCCUCCUCUACUGGAGCUUACAGUUUCAGAUGGUACCUGGGCAUAAGAGUAUCUGGAUUUUGGAGAAUUUCAUGGAUAUGUGUGUGUACUACGUCGCUUCAAUUGUGUCCAACUCUAUACAACCCUGUGGACUGCAGCCUUCCAGGCUCCUCUCUCCAUGGGAUUCUCCAGGAAGAGUAUUGGAGUGGGUUGCUGUGCCCUCCUCCAGGGGACCUUCCCAACCCAGGGAUAGAACUCUUGGGAAAUACUUCUGAUAUUGCCAAACCAAACCAGAUUCUUUUGGCUACUAGUCUAGUUCUCUUAACUGAGGGCCAGAACCUAAUGGAUCUAUCUCUCCUCCACAUCCAACUCAAAAGGGGGCCAAACUCUGUGGGAGAAGAUGGAAUUCUCCCCUCCGGAGUCCCCUGCAGGGAAAAGGAGAUUGGGCAGGAUGGGGAGUGGGAGGGAGAUGGGAAGAGCAGUGUUAAGGAAGGUAGGACCAUAAUUUCUACCUAGAAAGCAACAGGAAGUUUUUUUUAAAUGCUGCCUCUUCCACCAAAAAUUAAUUAGUCACUUACAUCAACUUCUGUACUGGGAAGUCCUGGGGGCUCUGAAACAUAUCUUUGUCCUAAAGGAAUCUAAUCUACUUGCAGAUAUAUACUGAGAAUAUAAAGUAAGGAUUAUAGUCGAGGUAUAAGUGGAACAACAGGCCGUGGGAUCACAGAGGAGGAUGUUUCUUUGGGGUCAGGAGUGCUUCACAAGGAAGGGGAUAUAUAUGUUUUUUCCUCUGCCUGCCUUUGAGUCUUUGCCAACCUGGCUGAUUCCAGAGGAGAUAUUUGAAAUGGGUUUUGAAAGAUAAGUAGGCAUUCACAUUCAGGGAUAAGGGAACAAGAAGCACAAGUAGAGAGGUGAGAGUUGUGCAGUGAAUACUCAGGUAUAGCUAAAAUUACAGAACGGGUCUGGGGCAGUGUGGCAGGAGAUGGAAGCAGAAAGUGGUUUGGGGCCGUGCUGCCAAGGGCCUUAAAUGCCAUGCCCAGGAUCGUGAGCAUUAUUCUGUAGUCCAUAGAUGCUCAAGUAGGAAACAUAAUCAGAUUUGUGUUUUAGGAAAAUCACUGCUGAUACCAGACUGUGGGUAGAAGAGGAAGCUCAGAGGCCGGGGUGCUGGUUAGGCCCGAGCCGCGGGAGUUCCGGUGGGAUCGAGGAGGGGCAGAGAGGAGAGCAGAGGGCAGACUAGACGGAGUUGGAGGAGCCACGGGCAGGAGACAGGGAGGAGUCUGGGAUGGCUGGUGGGUGGAAGUGCCGCUGACAUGCAGGACAUGGAGGCCAGGGCCAGACCCGGGAGGGACAAAUGAAGAGGAAUGUUUUGGACAUUGUAUCUUUAGGAGUGAUUUCGGCUGCAUAACGGAAUGCCCAACUUCUAGUGGUUUAAACAAGAGGUUUUGGGACCUCUCUGCAGGUCCAGUCAUUAGAAUUUGGCGCUUUCACUGCCAUGGCCCAGAUUUGUUCUCUGAUCCGGAAACUAAGAUUUCACAAGCUGCAUGGCGUGGCCAAAAAUAAUAAUAAAAAGAUGGUUUAUGUUCCCCCCACACCAAAGUCUUCUGAUGUGGGUCAGCAACUCAACAGUGUCGUCAAAGACGCAGUGCUCUCUGCCUCUCUGCUCGGCUGUCCUCAUGACUCUGGUUACUGGAUGACUAUAUUAGAGCUACAUUCGAGCUACAGGAGCCACAGGAUGAGGGGGUGGGAGCAAGAGAGUUUCUCUUCCUAAGGAGCUCUUUUUAUCUGAUAAGAAAAUCGAGCAGCUUUCUAGACAAUUUACUCUCAGGGGACAGAGCUGUGUCCAUGGCUACACCAGCAUCUGUGAAGGAGAAGCGACUGUUCUGAAGGGCUGGGGCUGAGCCUGGGGCCCCCUCCCCCAAAUAGAAUCUGCUCUGUUCCCCGAAGAAACAGGGGUCUUGUUAGCCUGGGAGCAGGGAUGAGCACUCAACAGUGCUCAUGUUGCAUUUGAGGGGUCAGUGGAAUUUCCAGGUGGAGGUGUCUAAGGGCAGCAGUGGGGGAUGGGAGCCAGGAAUCCUUGCCCUGUGAUCCUAACUGGAAAGAAAUUCUUCCCUCCCAGCUACUCAGCCUGGGUUUUCCGGGGUAGAAAAGCCAGGUGAGGGUGGGCAGGAAGACAUUUACCCCCAAUGCAGCUGAUGAUAAACCUCAUUUCUACUCCUCUGCCUGCCUAUACCUCCCUUCUCCCCAAUCUUUCACUAUAGCAUAGUGUAAAAGCAGGAGUUUAGACACUUUUAUUUCAGAGGUAUUACUUUUCUCUUUCCCAGACGUAUUAUUUUUAUGUAACUUUUUUUUUCUAAUUAUGGAAGAAAUACAUGAUCAAUGCAGAAAACUUGGAGAAGCACAAAUGAAAAACAAAAUCACUCAUAGAAGUUAAGUCUUAGGAGCAAGCACACUUCACAGUUCUUUCCCCCAUGGCUCUGGAAAUUUUUAUGGUAAAUAUCUUGGAGAGGUUAUAGUUUAAUGCCCGUGUGACGGCCAGCUCGGAACCCCUUACGUUUGUGUAACAUUUUACGAUCUUCCAGUGUUUUCAGCUGUAUAUUUUAUCACGUACUAUUCCACCUUUAUAGACUCCUACACAUUUUGAGGUGGGCAUAGGCCAUCACUGACUAGUUGAGGAAACUGAGGCUCGAAAAGAUGAUGGUAUUCAGCAUCCAGAGGGCAGGGGUAGCCUCAGUAGGGCUGGGUUCACACCACCUUAUUCCUUCCCCACACCUCACUGUCCAACUGUCCUGGGUAUAAAGGAAAAGCCCUAGGCCCAAAGUGCUGAAUUUGCUGUGGGCAAAUGGAGGGGAGUAUGUAUGGAGAAGGGAAAGGAAGAGGGUGGAGAAGGGCAGCUCCUUCCCUCCCCAGAGCCCUUGGGAGAGACCGGGGAGAGGGAGGUGAGAGGGGAGGGGCCCGGGUCAGGCUGAAGGGAUCAGUCUUCCAGGGCUGCAGCCUGCCCUGGCCUGUCCCUGCAGGCAGUAGAUGUCCAGAUAAUGGCUCACUUUUUACUUCACCAAACAUUUUUUGAGGUCAGGUGUUUGUUUAUCAGGUACUCUGUUGGGCACUGCAGGGGCUUCCGAGGUAGCUCAGUGGUAAAGAACUCGCCUGCCAAUGCAGGAGACAGAAGAUGUGGGUUUGAUCUCUCAGUCGGGAAGAUCCCCUGGAGAAGGGAAUGGCAACCCACUCCAGUAUUCUUGCCUGGAGAAUCCCAUGGACAGAGGAGCCUGGCGGGCUACAGUCCAUGGGGUGGCAAAGAGUCAGACAUGACUGAGUGACUAAGCAGUGAGGUACUGCAGGGAAAGCUGGAUGAGGCAACCUGUGAGCAGGAGAGCAGUGCCCUCGAGAGCUGGGUCUGAGUCCUAGCUGUGAAAACCUGGAAAAGAUGUUUGAUGACACAGAGCCUCCAUUGUUUUCAUCUGUAAAAUGGGGGCAGGACUGCUUUUUUUCCCUGGAAUUAUCAUUUGGAUCAAAGGAAAUAACAGCUGUGAGGGGCCUGGUGGGGACCAGACUGUCAGUAAGGACUGGUGUGUGUUUUUCUUUACCUGGGCUGACUGGGGAGAAAUGUGCUGUGAAGAGAUGGGGGUGAAGAGCAGGAGCCUUCAGGAUCCAGGAAAGGCAAGGGGGGAGGAGUCUUAGGAACACAAAUAUUUGUUCUGCCAGGCAGUACUUGAUAAAUGCCCGAGGGACACAGCAGCCAAGAGCUCUGAGGUGCAGGGGGGCAGAGGUGAAUGGGGGAAAAAAUCCUUUUGAGGGUUCCCCAGGUAGAGAUGGUGGGCAAGGGCAUUCCAUGCCCAGGGAGACAGUACAGGCCUCUCUCCCCUGAUCUGCAGGGGCAAGGGGAAGGAGACGGGGAGAGAAUCUGUCCCCUUCCAUGUUCUUUAUUGUUCCCCCGGCUCCAUCUUGUCCCCUCCUUCACCCUCUUCAUCCGCUGACUGUGGGUCAGUCACUGCUGAGUCCUAGGGAUCCUGAGCUGGGUCUUAAAGAGGUGUAGGGAUUGAUGGGGGAAAGGCACGCGGCAUGGGAGGGUGACAGAACUCGGGGCUGGGCACAGGGAAGGCGGCUGGGACCACGCGGAGAGGAGGGGCCGGAGUGGGCACAUCGCGGGAAUAUAGGCGGAAAGUGGUAAAUACCUCAGGGUGUGCUUCUGGUGCCCUCUGACCCAGUGCUGUGUGACUGAAGAAAGAGCUCCUCACGUGGGUGUGAGUCCCCGUGUUGGGAGGACUCUGGACAGACAUCCUGGAGGAGGGCCUGUGGUGGUGUGGCUCACAGGGAAACUGCUUUUAACUGGACUAAGGACAGUCCAGACUGGGCUGGAGCAGGCGAACCCAGUAUGGCCUCAGAGACAAGCGGAGGGGGUUGUAUUUCCUUGGGGAAAUCCACCCUAGCCUGAGGGAAGGCAGAGAGAGAGGGGAGGUUUGGAGACCUGAGAGUGGAUAGUGGGCAGGUUGCCCUGGGAAGAAUAACAUCAGCUCGCGUUUAUGAACAUGUUUUCCAUCCCAGGCUCAUUGGAAGCACUUUGCAUACAUUAAACCCUUACACCUCACAAUCAUCAUAAGAGAUCAGGAGUAUUAUCAUCCCUUCAUUUUACAAAUGAGCGAAGUGAAAGCGCAGAGAAGUUCCUAAGUUCCCCAGGUCACACAGCUAGUGAGUGGUGAAGCCGGAAUCUGAAACAAGGCAGUCAGGCCGGUCGGUCCCGAUUUAACCACUGCACCAAACUGUCCUGCUGUUUCUAGAGAGAGGCCACUAGUGAGCCCGCUGGGGGCACAGAGAGAGGCAAGACCACUCUGGAAAUUAGCUCUGCACGACAUCGCGGCUGUUUGGAGGUGGCAGAAAGACAGAGUUAUUAGUUCAGCAUGUGGAGCCCAGGUGGGAGGCAGGGCCAUGAAAGCCUCCAGAUAAAAUCCUUGCUCUCCCAGUCUUUUCUGUUAGAGCUCGGUCAAUGAGGUGCUUCAACCCAGGCCUCUUGUUAUGUAUAAAGGAAGGACCCAGAGAUGUGAGGAGUUAGAAUUCAUUUUUUCUUAGACCCUUCCUUUGAUCCUGGCUGUAGUUCUCUACGUUGGGCUGCCCCAUGUACUUUGAUCCCUGCCAUCUCCCAAGGUAGGUUCCCAGCCUUUCCGUCCAUUGUGUGAACUACUGGAAUUCCUUCAAUAAAUCAUUUUUUCUGCUUUAAGUACAGUCAGUGUCUGCCACUGGCAAGCCAGAACCGGGAUGGGUACAGAGCGAGUUGCUGAUGAUAACAGGGUCUAAAGCCUGGGAGACUAGAAGGGUCAUUUGCUGUUGUGUGCUUUGGGGGACGUUCUGUUUCAGGAGGUUAAGUUUAAAGUGCUUGGAAAAGCCUGGAGAAUGGAUUGAGAAGAAGUUUCUUACUAGGGACUGAGCCUGAAGACAGUGCUUUGAGCUAGAAAUGUGGUGAUGAAGCAGAGGAUUAGGGUCUGAAGCCCUGGAAUUGAUGUGAGAGAGUGGAGAGCUGACUUGAACAGUGCCUGCAGGGAGCCAGGCAGGAAUCAUGCAAGAGUAAGGGAGCCCAGGUUUAUUUGUCAGGAAGGCCAAAUGCAGGCUUCAGGCGAGCAUCCCAUCGCUGUAGUCAUCCCCGAAGAAGGAGAACAUCUUUAAUGUUUCAGUAAGAGCCCAAGGAGAACUCGCAUUGUCUUCAUUGGGUCACAUUCCCAUCCCCAGACCAAUCCCUGUGGCUGGGGGCUAUGUGCUGCUGCAGGCUGGGACAGGCUCAAGACACUGGCUGGCUAACAGACCUGGGAGGUGGACUGAGGAUGAAGCGCGGGGUCCCACAGGAAAACUGGGCUUCUGUUCCCAGAAGGGAAAAUGGAAGCUGGGCAAGCACACAAGCAGAUGUCCUCAAGAGGAGCUUGGUAGCUUGAGAGGUUUUCAGAAUGGAGGGAAGGAUCUUUUUUGGAUGAAGAAAUCUGGGCCCGGCUAUAGAUAAAAAGAAGAAAACUAUUGGAGAGGGCCUGGAAAUACAUUGUGGAAACUGAAGAAGCAGGCUCCAGGAAGGAUGUGUGGGGAUGGGGUUCAGGAGGGAGGGUAGGAGUUCAUCUUGGCCAAGGGAGGAACAGCUGUUUGUGAGUGGAGGCAGGUAGGGAGAUGACGGUGAGAAGAGGCUGAGAGGUAUUGGAAGGAAGUUGUGAGAUCCUGUUCCCAGGCUUUACCCAGGCUAAGAGCUUGGGCUUUGGAGGCUGAUUAUAGAGAUUCAAAUUCUAACUCUGUCACUUAGUAGGAUGUGACCCUGGUGCCUCAGUUUCCUCUUUUAAUUCAAUGAGGAUGAUAAUAACAGGGCCCACCCACAGGAUCACGGAGAGGAUUAAAUGAGAUAAUGUAUGCAAAGUACUUAGAAAAGCUGGUGUGUCUGGCAUAUGGAAAAACCUCAGGAUUAGCUAUUAUGAUGGUAAUUAUUAUGAUUUCUAUUACAGAGGGCUCACAGUGACAGUAAUGAAUUCCAGCACAACUGGGUCGGGCUCCUACCUGCUGACACUGGACCUCCAGCCCCCUGCCAAGUCCCCCUCAAAUAUUGCUGAUGGUCCCCACAGGCCGUUGCACGUGGGCUCAUCAUCGUGUCUGUGCACGCUGCGCGGCAGAUGUUCUGCUGGGUGCAGGGUUUUUCUGCUGGUGGGGUGUGGGGCAGCAGGCAUCUCCCUCUCCUCUCCAGAGUCACCUCCGUCAGGGGAUCGGGAAGGUCCCUGAGAAAGGCCGCUGGCGUCUCCACGUGAUGUUUGAUCAACAAGAUCUUUGCCUUGAAGAGCUAGUAUUCUGUUGGGGUGCAAUCAGGACCCAGCUUGUACAUACAGUUACCCAGCAGAUUUUUUUGUGCCUCAUGCUGAAGUAUGAAUGGAUAUCCAAGGAUCAGCAGGCAUUUGAGGAGGGACCCAGUGGGAAAUAGAGAUAAAGCACAUGUUGUUGUUCAGCUGCUCAGUCGUGUCCGACUCUUUGUAACCCCAUGGACUACAGCAUGCCAGGCUUUCCUGUCCUUCACCAUCUCCCAGAGCUUGUUCAAACUCAUGUCCAUUGAGUCGGUG